rnacentral:rRNA from 1 species
UACGUAGGGUGCGAGCGUUGUCCGGAAUUAUUGGGCGUAAAGAGCUUGUAGGCGGUUUGUCGCGUCUGCUGUGAAAAUCCGGGGCUCAACCCCGGACUUGCAGUGGGUACGGGCAGACUAGAGGCAGGUAGGGGAGAAUGGAAUUCCCGGUGUAGCGGUGAAAUGCGCAGAUAUCGGGAGGAACACCGGUGGCGAAGGCGGUUCUCUGGGCCUGACCUGACGCUGAGGAGCGAAAGCAUGGGGAGCGAACAGG